CUGCAGUGCCAGGAAAACGGAUUGUUUUCCUGGCAUUGGAGUUUCCCUUUAAUUUCAUAUUUCUUAUUAGUGUAUGUACCUAGGAAGUCAUGUGUAGCUCUUUUUUGAAAUUUGCAAGUAGAACACUUGCCACAGCUAUAAAAACCUGUUAAAUAGAAAAAAUUUGUAUGAAUGUUUUUAUCACGGAGUAAACUAGGAGCUAAUUGUUUUUUUAAAUUCUCUGCCUUUUUAUAUAUAACUAUGGGUAGUUCCGGGAUGACUUUUCCCAAUAUGUCAUCUUUUUUUAAUAUGUGCCAAUGUUUUUUCAAGAUGCUUUCUAUCUUUUUGGCCAGAGAAUUAAACUUCGUGACAAAAGCAUAUUCAAAUUUCUUAUUAUCCCUGUUCUUGGAUUCAAUGUUCUGCUUGAUUAAUAGAGAUUGUCCGUUUAGAUUUUUUUAUCUGUUCCUCAUCUGCAUUAAUUUUGUCUACGUCAUAACCUUUUUCCUCAUAUCUCUUUUUUGUAAUGGUGUUUAGUUCUUCAAAUGUUUGUAAAUCGGUGAAGUUGCGUCUUAGACGCAUCAUCUGUCCUCUUGGGACAUUCGAGAGCCAUGGACUAUAAUGUAGACUGGACUUGUUAAUAGCUGUGUUACAGUCCAUGCUCUUAAAGAAAGUUUUGCUUUUUAAUUGUCCUUCCUCAACAUAGAGGGUGAGGUCCAGAAAGUCAAUUUUAGUGGGAUGUAUAACUGAUGUGAAGUGUAAGUUAUAAUCAUUACAAUUAAUACUGUCUAUAAAGGAUACCAGUUCUUCUGUCUGUCCUUCCCAUAUAAUUAAAACAUCAUCUAUGUAGCGUCGCCAUAGGACGAGACCGGCCGCCUCACUCACAGUGAUAGUUGUGGCUUUCUCAAUGAGACACGUAGAGGUUGGCAAAGCUCGGGGCGAAUCUUGUCCCCAUGGCGACGCCACAUAGCUGCAGGAAAAAAGUGGAAUCGAACCAAAAAUAGUUCCUGGUUAGUAUAAAAUUAAUGCAUUCAAUCAAGAAGUCUAUUUGAUAUAUAUUUAAUUUUUGUUUUGAGACCAAAAUAUCUUUGCUUCUAUUCCCUUAUGAUGAGGGAUGCUCGUUUAUAAAGAAGAUACAUCUACAGUGGCCAUGAUAUAGGUGGAUUUCCAUUCUAUUUUUUUGCAGAUCGUAUAAAAUGUUUUUGUAUAAAUACCUUGUUUAGCUUUACAAAAGCUUAUAGAUAAGCUCCUUUAUGUCCCAUCAUGGUUGGACACUUUCUUUUGGUCUGUAUAUGGUAUUUCCUGUUCCCCAGCCGUAUCAGUAAAACUCUGAUCGUCUAGUCUGCAGCUGCAUUCCAGCUUGGAACGCAUGGAGGAAAUCAGUGUAACCGGAACCGGAAGUGAUGCCGAAAGACUGGAUGCGUCCCAACAUGACGCGCACGCGACGCAUACAGAACACAGGUGAACUCCAUUUCGGCGAUUUAUUUAACCCCUUAAGGACACAUGACAUGUGUGACAUGUCAUGAUUCCAUUUUAUUCCAGAAGUUUGGUCCUUAAGGGGUUAAACGAAGAGGCUAAGGAACAAUUUCAUCACAUCCCUGACGAAGUCCUGUGGACGAAACACAUCGGAUUGACAGUUUGGGACUUACAGUGCUGUAUACAUGUGUUCCACUCGCUAGUGGAUAUAUGCUGUUUUUAACUGGAAUUUUGUAAGUGCAAUUGUAAUAA
rnacentral:lncRNA from 1 species